AGCAAGGGAUUAAAUAGUGGGACCCAGUGAUCCUGGAGAGUCAUGACUAACUCCUAGGCUUCAGUCAUGGGAGACUAGAACGAGAGAGAGUUACCUUUGUAGAAAAGGGGAAGUCAGGAGGAACCUUUGGUUUAAAGAGAAGGAAAAUGAAAUCUAAUUUGAACUUGUUGGUUUAAGCUGUGCUAUGGACGCCCAAGGGGAGAUGUCUAGCAGCUACAAGUACUGAGAGGGACGAGAAAAGGGUCCAGGGCAUCGCCACGUGGAAGUUCUACCAUGAUGGUGAUCCUGAAAAUGAAACUAAGAAUGACCAACCAGGGAGGAGAAGAACCAAAAGAGGAAAAAGAAAUUAAUUGAUCCUAAGGAGGAAAGAAGGAUUUCGGAAGAGGAGGUUGUCAACAAUGCCAAAUGCUGCAAGGGUUUGGACAGAGAAAAAGUCUCCAGAUUUAACAGUGAGAAAGGAGAUCACUGCGGAGCUGGGUUAGAGCAUGUUUAGCCAAAUUUGGGGUUUGAAAUCAGAUAGAAAGGGCUUAGAAGUAAAUGAACUAUUAAAAGCUAGCAACAAGAAUA